rnacentral:siRNA from 1 species
AACAAUCUACACUUGAGUUGAUGC